rnacentral:lncRNA from 1 species
UCAUCCCUUUUGACUCCUGUGUUUAGGAUGACUCAGGGUUAAACUGUCAACCCUGAUGAGAUCAUCCGAAUCGUGCUCAACUCAAUUAGUCCUAUGACUCCUCACUAGGACUACCCUGGCCAAGGUUUUGCUAAAUUGAAACACGACUGUACACAACUCCUAAACUGGAGUGGUCAAUCCCAUCUUGACACACGCACCGACAAGUAAGUACUUGACUACACCCAGCA